rnacentral:rRNA from 1 species
UACGGAGGGUGCAAGCGUUUAUCCGGAUUCACUGGGUUUAAAGGGUGCGUAGGUGGGCAAGUAAGUCAGUGGUGAAAUCUCCGGGCUUAACCCGGAAACUGCCAUUGAUACUAUUUGUCUUGAAUACUGUGGAGGUCAGCGGAAUAUGUCAUGUAGCGGUGAAAUGCGUAGAUAUCUGGAGGAACACCGGUGGCGAAGGCGGCAUCCCUGGACCAUAACUGACACUGAUGCGCGAAAGCGUGGGGGAGCAAACAGG